UUGAUCAUGGCUCAGAUUGAACGCUGGCGGCAGGCUUAACACAUGCAAGUCGAGCGGGGGAAGGUAGCUUGCUACUGGACCUAGCGGCGGACGGGUGAGUAAUGCUUAGGAAUCUGCCUAUUAGUGGGGGACAACAUCUCGAAAGGGAUGCUAAUACCGCAUACGUCCUACGGGAGAAAGCAGGGGAUCUUCGGACCUUGCGCUAAUAGAUGAGCCUAAGUCGGAUUAGCUAGUUGGUGGGGUAAAGGCCUACCAAGGCGACGAUCUGUAGCGGGUCUGAGAGGAUGAUCCGCCACACUGGGACUGAGACACGGCCCAGACUCCUACGGGAGGCAGCAGUGGGGAAUAUUGGACAAUGGGGGGAACCCUGAUCCAGCCAUGCCGCGUGUGUGAAGAAGGCCUUAUGGUUGUAAAGCACUUUAAGCGAGGAGGAGGCUACUUUAGUUAAUACCUAGAGAUAGUGGACGUUACUCGCAGAAUAAGCACCGGCUAACUCUGUGCCAGCAGCCGCGGUAAUACAGAGGGUGCGAGCGUUAAUCGGAUUUACUGGGCGUAAAGCGUGCGUAGGCGGCUUAUUAAGUCGGAUGUGAAAUCCCCGAGCUUAACUUGGGAAUUGCAUUCGAUACUGGUGAGCUAGAGUAUGGGAGAGGAUGGUAGAAUUCCAGGUGUAGCGGUGAAAUGCGUAGAGAUCUGGAGGAAUACCGAUGGCGAAGGCAGCCAUCUGGCCUAAUACUGACGCUGAGGUACGAAAGCAUGGGGAGCAAACAGGAUUAGAUACCCUGGUAGUCCAUGCCGUAAACGAUGUCUACUAGCCGUUGGGGCCUUUGAGGCUUUAGUGGCGCAGCUAACGCGAUAAGUAGACCGCCUGGGGAGUACGGUCGCAAGACUAAAACUCAAAUGAAUUGACGGGGGCCCGCACAAGCGGUGGAGCAUGUGGUUUAAUUCGAUGCAACGCGAAGAACCUUACCUGGCCUUGACAUACUAGAAACUUUCCAGAGAUGGAUUGGUGCCUUCGGGAAUCUAGAUACAGGUGCUGCAUGGCUGUCGUCAGCUCGUGUCGUGAGAUGUUGGGUUAAGUCCCGCAACGAGCGCAACCCUUUUCCUUACUUGCCAGCAUUUCGGAUGGGAACUUUAAG
rnacentral:rRNA from 1 species